rnacentral:rRNA from 1 species
AAUUAUUAUUAGAUUUUUUAAAUAAUUAUUCACGAAAUAAAUUGAGCUAAAUAAUAGUUUUUUUGGAAAUUUAUAACUAUAUGUUACAAAAUAUAUUAACUAUAUAUAUUUAGGGGUGAAAGGCCUAUCAAAUUUUAUGAUAUCUUGAAGUAUACAAAAUAUAUUAAGUAUUUUUAAUUCAACUAUUGAAUGUUUAGGUUCAAUGGCCACAUUAUAUUUUUUAAAGGUUUAUUUAAUUUUUUUAAGUAAAAUUAAUUUUAAGUAUAGAACAUAAAUCAAAUUUAUAUUAUAUGAAUAUAAGUAUACUAUGGUUAUCAAUAAAUACAAUCAUAUAUAAUGUAAUUAUUAGUAAUACUUAUUAAACUAUAUAAAGGAAUUCGGCAAAAAAAUUUUUCAACUGUUUAUCAAAAACAUAGCUUGUUGAAUAACAUAAUAAGUAACCCCUGCUCAAUGGAAAUUCUAAAUAGCCGCAGUACCUUGACUGUGCAAAGGUAGCAUAAUCAAUUGGCUUAUAAUUGAAGUCUGGAAUGAAUGGGUAAUCUGGAAAAUAACUGUCUUUAUUUUAGUACUUUUGAAGUUACUUAUAAAGUGAAAAUACUUUAAUUUAAAUAUAAGACGAGAAGACCCUAGAAAUUUUGUGUAUAUUUACUUUUGUUGGGGCGACAGGGUAACAUAUAACUUACCUUUAUUUAAUAUAAACCUUAUAAGGUAUAUAAUUAAAUUACUCUAGGGAUAACAGCAUAAUAUAUAAAAGUUUAUGACCUCGAUGUUGGACUAGGUAAUUAAAUAUUUAAAAGAUUUUUAAUGUUGCUCUGUUCGAGCAGUAUCACCUACAU